UGUUCUGUGGCGAAGUUGGUUAAAGCUCCAGACUAGCGAUACGGAGUCGUGGGUUCGAAUCUCACCAAAACAA
rnacentral:tRNA from 1 species